rnacentral:rRNA from 1 species
UACGUAGGGUGCGAGCGUUAAUCGGAAUUACUGGGCGUAAAGCGCACGUAGGCGGCGCAGCAAGUCAGGGGUGAAAUCCCGGAGCUCAACUCCGGAACUGCCUUUGAAACUGCAGUGCUAGAAUCCUGGAGAGGCGAGUGGAAUUCCGAGUGUAGAGGUGAAAUUCGUAGAUAUUCGGAAGAACACCAGUGGCGAAGGCGACUCGCUGGACAGGUAUUGACGCUGAGGUGCGAAAGCGUGGGGAGCAAACAGG